AAGUCGUAACAAGGUUUCCGUAGGUGAACCUGCGGAAGGAUCAUUAACGAAUUGUAAUAACAAGGUUGUCGCUGGCUCUCUCUGGGAGCAUGUGCACGCCUCGUUUAAACUCUUCAUCCUUAACCUCCUGUGCACCCUUUGUGGAUCGUGGAUGGAUAAUUCUCGAGUUAACGCUCGGUUUUGGCGAUUGCGCCUAACACGCGCUCUCUCCUACAUCUCUUCGCGGUUCAUGUUUUUCUACACACUACAUAUAUAACCUAGAAUGCUUCAAAGUUGGGACUUUAGUGACCCUUCUUAAAUUAAAUACAACUUUCAACAACGGAUCUCUUGGCUCUC
rnacentral:misc_RNA from 1 species